rnacentral:rRNA from 1 species
UGGGGAAUAUUGCACAAUGGGCGAAAGCCUGAUGCAGCGACGCCGCGUGAGGGAUGACGGCCUUCGGGUUGUAAACCUCUUUCAGCAGGGAAGAAGCGAAAGUGACGGUACCUGCAGAAGAAGCGCCGGCUAACUACGUGCCAGCAGCCGCGGUAAUACGUAGGGCGCAAGCGUUGUCCGGAAUUAUUGGGCGUAAAGAGCUCGUAGGCGGUUAGUCGCGUCUGCUGUGAAAACUCGAGGCUCAACCUCGGGCUUGCAGUGGGUACGGGCUGACUAGAGUGCGGUAGGGGUGACUGGAAUUCCUGGUGUAGCGGUGGAAUGCGCAGAUAUCAGGAGGAACACCGAUGGCGAAGGCAGGUCACUGGGCCGCAACUGACGCUGAGGAGCGAAAGCAUGGGGAGCGAACAGGAUUAGAUACCCUGGUAGUCCAUGCCGUAAACGUUGGGCACUAGGUG